rnacentral:rRNA from 1 species
GACGAACGCUGGCGGCGUGCUUAACACAUGCAAGUCGAACGGAAAGGCCCUGCUUUUGUGGGGUGCUCGAGUGGCGAACGGGUGAGUAACACGUGAGUAACCUGCCCUUGACUUUGGGAUAACUUCAGGAAACUGGGGCUAAUACCGGAUAGGAGCUCCUGCUGCAUGGUGGGGGUUGGAAAGUUUCGGCGGUUGGGGAUGGACUCGCGGCUUAUCAGCUUGUUGGUGGGGUAGUGGCUUACCAAGGCUUUGACGGGUAGCCGGCCUGAGAGGGUGACCGGCCACAUUGGUACUGAGAUACGGCGCAGACUCCUACGGGAGGCAGCAGUGGGGAAUAUUACGCAGUGGGCGGAAGCCUGAUGCAGCAACGCCGCGUGCGGGAUGACGGCCUUCGGGUUGUAAACCGCUUUCGCCUGUGACGAAGCGUGAGUGACGGUAAUGGGUAAAGAAGCACCGGCUAACUACGUG